CUCCUGAUGCGCAAUGACCUGCCUUCCAUACCCGGUCACCCGGAAGACAGCGAGCCAAUGGUGAGACCGACCAGGAG
rfam:Deinococcus peraridilitoris DSM 19664, complete genome.